UCUGGAGUCUUGUCAGGACCAGUGGGGCCUUAACCUUUUGAGGAUCUAAUUAGAGAUGCUCGGGAGCAGCACAGACUCAGGGAUGGUCCAGGACAGAUAAGGGAUGGGGUCAUUGCAACAGCCCCUAGCAGUGACCCUCCGUGAGCCGUGGAGAGGAGGGUGCUGGGUAACAAGACGUCUUCUCGCUCUGGCCGCCGGCUUGUGUUUGAGUUAUCACGAGUUUCCCACAUGUCCUUGCUUCCUAUUCCUCUCACAAACACACACCUCGGCUUGGAUGUGCAUUAUUGGGGAUUGAAUCUAGGGAUACAGGUUUUACAGACUUACGAGAUAGACUCUGUCCACGUUUCACAAGCUGGACUUGCAUUCAUUUUUCAGUACAGGCAAUCCCCCUGCCUCACUCUGAUAUUCAUGAAAACAGGCCUACACCCUAGACCCCUACAGAUUGACUUAUUUGAAGCUAGGCAUAGGCAGAGUGAGCAGGGUUCUGAAUGGCUCCUUAAUCUAUACCACCGUCAGCACCUCUGGGACCUGGUUAGAAAGUGUAAAUUAAUUUGGGGAAUCUCUUAAAACCUUCUCAAUCAGCAUCACAGGGUAGGGCUAGACCGCCACUUCCACAGGGUCUGCAGGCGACAGAUACAGGCUCCACGUGGGAGUCGGGUGCUGCAGCCUGUGACCACACUGGAAUCUGGAGUCCCUAGGCAGUAACUGGGAUGAAGCCAUCUGACUCUUUUGAACCAAGCUGGCACCACAGAUCCCAGUGAAUACAUGGUGGUGAUAUGCAUUUGUGGAGAAGCCACCAUAUUUCCUUGGAUGUCUGGGCGACCACUGAUCAAGACCAUGCCCAGGACAGAGAAAGCAAAGCUCCUACUAUGUGCUGCUGAGUAUGAAACCCAGGCCCUUCUGCUUGCAAGGUACACACAUCUAUCCACUUCCCGCCACCCUCUGUGAUUCAUGUCUUUGUUUCUGCGCUUCAAAACGCCUUCCUCUCCCUGGUAUCAUUAACUUCCCAUUGUCUUCAAAAUAAUUUUUUUGUGAAGUUUUGCAUCUGAAUCUGGACCUGCCUAGUGCAGCCUAGGGAGAAGUCUCAGGCUGGGAACCUGCAUUUUCUGGGUUUUCUGGAAGGCAGCACUCUCUCACCUUCCAGUUCCAUAAGUGAAAUUGUCCAGCACAUGCCUUGCCACACAGCCUUGAGUUAGGCUGUGUAUGUCUCCGAGGGACAAGGACUCUUGGUUGAGAGAGGGUCUCUCUAUAUAUAUAUAGCCCAGGCUGGCCUCAAACUCACCAUCUACAGGAGUGUGGCAAAGCACCUGGCUGAGAGGACUCCUAGAGCAGAUAGGAUCCUGAGUACUGCUCUGGCCACUGCAGAGCUCCAUCACCACAGAAGACAAGAGAAAUCAGGUCACCCACCGAUACCUCAUCGAG